rnacentral:lncRNA from 1 species
CAGAUCUUCUCCUUUGGUGCUCCUCUAGGGCCUCCUGGGGAUCCUCUGGAGCUUCCUGGUGAUCCUGGUCAGCCUGUCCCCUGAGAACCUGAAGGAAAAAGUGAGAGGGCACCUCAGGGUACACAAGCAAGCAGAGGCUGAUUCUGCAGGACUGACAGUAGAGAGGGGCCUAAGACGCUCCCUCUACUGACCUGAGUGCAGACCCCUCGACAAAGACCUCCCCAUCCCUGACACCAAUGAUCCCAGGAUGGGGGCCCCUGUGUUGACCUGAGUCAUCCUCGGAGAACAAGUUCCUCACCUCCCCGAGAUCUGAAAACAGGAAUGAGAUGGAGCUACAUCCUGUCACCCCCACAUGGGGUGUCCAGAAGGUGCAGCAAGCAUGGGCUACAGGUGGCCACUGUGCACUGGACCUCCCAGGGCAAAGGUCCCCAUUGUUCUGGACUCAAAGGUACCCUGAGUCCUCCCUCUUCUUCCUCUCCUUGAUCCUGGCAGGGUUGGGCCCCACCCUCUGCUGACGUGAGUCUCCAUCCCUCUGAUUCCCGAGGAUGAAAGAGGAGGCGCCUCAGUCUCAGACAGGGUUGGAGUGGACCCCCUAUCCUGAGGACCUGGGUUCCCUGAGGCCUCCCUUUACUCCCAGCAGGGCUUGAGGAGCAGAGACUCCCCUGAGGCCCUGCUCAUGAUACUAAGCCCUUUCCCUCCUUCAGCCCUGGAUGUGGACGUCAGAAUGGGUGUGCCUGUCUGUCAUUCCUGGGGCUUCUGUGGGUUGACUGCAGGGAAAGAAACAGAUUCUGCCAAGAUGGGGU